GACGUAGGGCGCAAGCGUUGUCCGGAAUUAUUGGGCGUAAAGAGCUCGUAGGCGGCUUGUUGCGUCGACUGUGAAAAACCACGACUCAACCGUGGGACUGCAGUCGAUACGGGCAGGCUAGAGUUCGGUAGGGGAGACUGGAAUUCCUGGUGUAGCGGUGAAAUGCGCAGAUAUCGGGAGGAACACCGGUGGCGAAGGCGGUUCUCUGGGCCUUACCUGACGCUGAGGAGCGAAAGCGUGGGGAGCGAACAGG
rnacentral:rRNA from 1 species